GUGCGCUGUUCACUGUUGGAUUCGUGAAGGCGCGGUCGUCAAGAGCAUACAGCAUUUACUGGUCCUGCACUUUCAUUUAAUUUUUUUUUUUACACCUAGACUUCCUACCCUGUAAUACUUUCCUUCCCUUACCUUCUUCUUCUUCAACAACUUCAGAUUUCGUCAUCGGCCGUUUUGCCAAGUGGAAAUUAUCCUCAGCCUCCAUCUUCACCUACAGGAAGGACUUUUGGGUUCGUCUCCUAGAUGCAAAAACGACAGGAAGGGGAUGGAGGUGGUGGUGGUCGUCAAAUACUCAUCUUGUCUCUGCUAUUGGUGCUGCUGUCUGCCCAACCCACUAACAUGCAGACAGACAACAUGGAGGACACUGUCGUAAGCAACACAGAAGCCGAGAAGAAUACCAACCUUUAUGGCAGUGACACGCCCUUCAGUGACACGCCCUUCAGUGACACGCCCUCCAGUAACAUGCUCUCCAGUGACACGCCCUCCAGUGACAAACUCUCCAGUGAUGAUGCACUCCAGUGACACGCCCUUCAGUGACACGCCCUCCAGUAACAUGCUCUCCAGUGACAAACUCUCCAGUGACAUGCUCUCCAGUGACACGCCCUUCAGUGACAUGCUCUCCAGUGACACGCCCUUCAGUGACAAACUCUCCAGUGACAUGCUCUCCAGUGACACGCCCUUCAGUGACAUGCUCUCCAGUGACACGCCCUCCAGUGACAUGCUCUCCAGUGACACGCCCUUCAGUGACAUGCCCUCCAGCGACAUGCCCUUCGGUACUACUACUGAAGUCAUCAAUUCCCUGGCUACGAUAGAGUUACGACUGAGAGAAGAUGACAACUGGCUGAGCGUAACAUGGGAUCCGACAGACCUGUCAGGAGAAGGGUAUAAAGUAUGUGUCCUAUGCCAGAGAGACGAUGACCCUUGUAACUGCGGAAAUUGCAUGAAUCCCCCAGAGAAAAUCACCAACGAAACCACCAUCAAGUUUCAGACCGAACCUAGCACCAAUUAUAGUGUGUGGCUCACUCCUCCUGACGCUCUGUGUAAUGGUAAUGGAAGUGAUGUCUACUCUCUGACGACGAACCAUAGCAAUCCAAGAGAGCCAAAUGUCACGUACAAUCGUGAAACUAGCCCGGUGCUAAGCUGGGAGACUGGCUGCCCUUAUAUUGGUCCUGUCAAAUACACAUUACUCAUAGAUGGCGUCGAGUUUAAAAUACACACCAACAACUCCUGUAACUACGAAGCGAAAAUCAUGGAAAAGUUGUCACCUGCCACCCGGUAUAACUACACCCUUAACACACAGAUACCCGACUGUGUUGAAGAGAUUAACAGGAAGUCAGUAGAAGGGUCAGGGUCAAGCAGCACUCCUUCCAUGUCAGAUGAAAAUGAGUCGUACAAUGGGACAGAGACGCCCGGAGUUGGAGACAAUCCUGCCAGUAUCUGUUAUGACAAGUGUGGCGUAUGCGGCCAGGGGACACCGAUCAUCACUCCUCCUAACAACGAGUCCAUACCUCAGAAUUUAAUGAAAGAGGGGCCAACCUUAGCCGAUGCAGACCCCAGUUCUCGCAUGGUGAAACUGACCUGGAAUGACCCUGUGCAUGCCGGGGUAAUGGACGAGUUUGUCUUGAAACUAAUCCACAAAGAAAAUGUUACGAAGGAAUGCUAUAUUAGUAAUAAUGGCACGAACGAUUGUGGCUGUCAACGGCACUCCUGUAGUCUUCCGGUGAGAGCCAGGACAACAUACACAAUAAAUGUCGAAGCCUUGAAUAAGGAUUUAAGAUUGAGAAGCAAGCCAGCAAUAGAUAUUCUGCAUGUGCAAAUUGGAACGCCUUUCUUCACGGGCCCACCAAUGUUUGAGUUUAAGAAUGGCGACGAGUUUGAUCUCCACAAAGAAUAUCCCAUCUUGAUAGACAGUAAUACCUUCAGCAAUGACAACGGCGAAGUUGCUGGAUACAAGAUAUUUGUGGAGAAAGGACAUGGUCAAAGGAAUACCUACAGGUGGAUGGUUUGCCACAAUCUCAUCAAGGAUUUUAAAAAGUUGCUUAUCAUCGGUGUUGGCUCACCACAGGACACUUGCUCAAAAGACAAGAUCUGCAACCCACCACUCACCCCUUCUAUCAACUACACUGUAACCUUGAGCAUUUACACCAACAAGGCUUCCCAAAACUUCAGCCUGUUUUUCACCACCGCUGCUCAACCAGUGAAUUGGCUGACAGUCGUGUUCUCAUUGAUUCUGGCUGUAUUGCUAGUGGUAGUGUUGUCAGCUGUGUCCUACUACUGGCAGCGGUUUCUUCCCAUGAAGCGUAGUGAAUCCCUGGAUAUUCCAAUGGUGGAGUCCCUGCCUCCAGACGUCAGCAUGGAGCAUAGGAUAACUCUCUCACAGCUAGCCAACACCGUCCACAAGCUCCUAUCCAACUGUCAGAUGGAACUCAAGAGGGAGUAUGCCUUACUCAAGUCAGUUUCGCCAUCAAAGCCUUGUGAGUAUGCCAAUCUGCCCUCAAACAAAGUCAAGAACCGCUACAUCAACAUUCUACCAUUUGACGAAUCGAGAGUAGCCUUGAAGGAGUACCGUUCCAUCCCCUGUAGCGACUACAUCAAUGCUUCAUAUAUACAUGGUUACAACAAGUCCAGGGAGUUCAUCGCUUGCCAAGGUCCUACAGAUGAUACAAUUGAGGACUUCUGGAGGAUGGUGUGGGAGAAGAACGUUCACAUCAUUGUCAUGGUCACACAGUGCGUGGAGAAGAACACGAGGAAAUGUGCUAAAUACUGGCCAGACAAGGAGGAGGAGAAGGGGCUGGUACUGAGGCAAGCCAUGCUGAGAGUGACGAUGCUCCACCAGGCCUCAAACCAGGGGGAAGGUUACAUCAUUCGUAAAUUCAAACUCUCCAGGAUACCGAAUUAUAGUUCGAGGAUUGUCCAGCACUUCCACUUCGUGUCGUGGCCAGACAUGGGCUGCCCGGAUACCCCCAACCACUUGAUCAACCUGGUGGAGGCAGUGAGGAAAGCUGUCCCUUCCUCCAGUUCCCAUGUACUUGUCCACUGCAGCGCUGGUGUGGGUCGAACUGGAACUUUCAUUGGCCUGAACAACAUGAUAGACGAGAUAGCUGAAGAAGAUAGUGUAGACGUCUUCCACACUGUGUACAAGAUGCGCAUGCACCGUACAAACAUGGUCCAGACUGAGGCUCAGUAUGCUUUCCUCUACAAAUGUGUCCUCAAGUACUACAACAACAAAAUAGGAGAAACUGAAACUGAAAUAUUUGAAAGGAACAGGAAUCAACCAAGGGAUAUCCCAGACGUGAUUACCAAUACCCCAGAAGCCAGAAAUUCUUCCCCAGAGACCGAGAGUGACGACACUAGUAGUAAGACCUCGACACAUGACAGCGCUGGUGUAAUAGGCAUAAUACCCCUUUAUUCUCAACUUAGUGAGACGGAAUACAUUGAGGACAAGGAUCUAGAGCCACAUUCAGAUCUAGACGACGAAGAAGACAAACAACUGAUUAAAGAGAGCCCUGAACCUGAAGACAAAUCCAGUGAGCACUGACACCAAUAACAUGAAACUCAGUGGAAAGGUAACAUCACAGGGAGCCAUUUUUGAUCCUAUUACCUUUGUUGAUAAAACAAAACAAGGGGGGGUGAGCUUAAUACUGAGAAGGAUUCACAGUAACUUUUACUUUUAUCCUCUUCGCCACUGACAGGCCUGUUAGCCACUUGGGCAGUCGGUCACAUCACUCUUACACACUGUUGGCAGAUACUGGGCAUGAACUGGCUCCUGAAUCUAUCGGAACCUGCUCCAGUGUUGGUCAAGUUUGGCCUUGUUUGGGCUCACACUCGGUGCGGCCACAACACUCUGGCAGAUUGUUCCAAGAGUUCACAAUUCUCACUCCGAAAAAGACACAAGACACAAAGUAUCUUUUGUUAUGGCCAUUGUUUACUCUUCCAAACCUUGAAUGUCUCUACAGUGUACAGAAAUUUGUCAGCGGGGGUCAUAAAACAUAAAAUAAAAAAUGUCUGGCCUUAGUUAAAACCUUGAUUAGUUAUAACACCCAAUUUAUAUGCAGAUUACAUAAAGAUACAACUUUUAUAUGUGGUGAUAAUAUACAUGUUGACAAGUACAGUACGUAACUGGAAAUAACUUACCAGACAGUGAGGAAAAUCACCAAGGUUUGAUGAUGUUCCUUCUUCAGACAACCUUACAAAGUGAUGUUUUACCUGACAGGUGGAAGGACUGCAUUGUACAAUUAAAGGAUCAACUUCUUGAAUACUAUUGGAUUAGUCACCUGUAUUGUGUAAGUGUAUCAGCUAAUUGAAUAAGUUGAUAAAUUAUUGUAUGUUUUUGCUAUGAAGAUGAUUUUUUAUUUUUUUGUAAUCAUGUGUAAGUAAUGAGUUCCACAAUGUUCUGUAAAUACAUCGGUAAUAUUAUAUAAAUGCUUCUAUAUGUGUAUCAUGUUACAGGAUCACUGAGUGCUACACACAUACAGUAUAUCCCAGCAUUAUGUUCGUCUUGUUUUAUUAUUUCAUUUAUUUAUACUCGUACUUCAAAACCAACCACAUUAGAUGGAUACUAGACAUGCUAUACCAAGUCAACUUGUCUAUGGCCAGCUAAUUCUGGUGUCCCUGGGAUAUGUGAAUGGAUGAAUUCCUUGUAUAAUGUGGAUAAAAUAAUUCCAUACAUGUGAAUGAAUGUAUCAAAGAGAAAUAAUGUAUAUAUCCUUGCAUUUAGCAGGCUGACUAGUUAUUGUGUCAUAUACCUUGAGAUAAUCAACCUUAGUGUUCAUGUAAGGGUGACUGAUCAAAUGACCUGUUCCAAUAGGUUCCAAUCUCACCAAUGGGACUGAGGGUCUACGGCUAAUGAUAAAAUUUACCUGUUAUAUAUAUUAAAAGUUGAUACAUCACUUAUAAAAUGAUAAUGUAUAACUCUAGAACAGUGGGUCUAUUUAUCCAUUACCCUUACUUCUUUUCCACUUGCAUAAGUUGAGUCCGUUAUAACACAAUCCUUGAGAAAAAAAGGGGAAGUGAUAGUAGUAACUGUCUUCCAUUUAACCCCUUCACUAAUAGCAGAUGAUUUUAUUCAGCUCAGAGAUGACCUCAGACACAAGGGGUAAGGGUGAAACAGUUUUCUGCAAUCAGUGUUCUCACUCAUUUUAUGCAAAUAGACAAGUUAAAGGUUUCUUGAAGGGGGAUCAGUUGCUCCUAUAUAGGGCAUCAUUUCUUUAUACCGUGUAAAACAAUAUUAAUAGUAAUGAUAUUACUGCUGGUGCAAGAACCACAAACAGCCUAAGAGCUGACGCUUAACUGUGAGGGGCUGUGUUCAUAAUUAUUUGCCAGCAGGUUGGCUAUGAUUCUAGCAACAGUGGCCGAAAGUACAGUACAUUACAUGUGGGUAGAUCUAUUACACUGUGCAUAAAGUGUGCUGUCAACAAUCAUUUGUUCUGAGUUAAUAACAAAAUAAAGGAUACUGGCAAAGGGUGGCCAGCAUCCAGAACAACUCUCUCCUUUAAGCAUUUACUCAAGGUAUUGUAAACUUGUAACACAUGUUCUCAUAUUGUGUUCUUUCCCAUAACUGCAUCAAACAGAAUAUGUCGAGAAACUGUGUUCUCUUUCUAAUGAAAUAAAUCAUAGGUUGGUAGUACUAUCCACAAA
rnacentral:misc_RNA from 1 species